UACGGAGGGUGCAAGCGUUGUCCGGAUUUAUUGGGUUUAAAGGGUGCGUAGGCGGCCUCUUAAGUCAGUGGUGAAAGCCCGCGGCUCAACCACGGAACUGCCCUGGAAACUGCUCGGCUUGAGUACAGACGAGGUUGGCGGAAUGGAUGCUGUAGCGGUGAAAUGCAUAGAUAGCAUCCAGAACCCCGAUUGCGAAGGCAGCUGACUAGGCUGUAACUGACGCUGAGGCACGAAAGCGUGGGGAGCGAACAGG
rnacentral:rRNA from 1 species